rnacentral:rRNA from 1 species
CGGCGUGCCUAACACAUGCAAGUCGAGGGUUUUUAGUAGUAAUACGAAGAACACUUGGCGCACGGGUGAGUAACGCGUAGAUCAUCUGCCCCUAANACUGACAUAACAGUUCUAACGGACUGCUAAUAUCAGAUGUGAUAAGCAAUUAUUAAAGGGUACCGGUUAGGGAUGAGUCUGCGUCUGAUUAGGUAGUUGGUGAGGUAACGGCUCACCAAGCCUACGAUCAGUAACUGGUCUGAGAGGACGAACAGUCACACCGGAACUGAGACACGGUCCAGACUCCUACGGGAGGCAGCAGUGAGGAAUAUUGCACAAUGGGAGAAAUCCUGAUGCAGCGACGCCGCGUGUGGGAAGAAGGAGCUUAGCUUCGUAAACCACUGUCGGAGGGACGAAUGGUAGGUUAGACCUACUGAGACGGUACCCUCAAAGGAAGGAUCGGCUAACUACGUG